UCCACCAAGAUGCAGGCUGUUCUCCCAAAAACCAGGUAGUCUCUCGACCCACUUAUUAGGAGGAAGAUUUCCCUGACUCUGCAUCACCUGAAAGGUCUUCUCCACAUGAUUCAACCAUUUUUCUGCCCCCUCAUGACCUUCAUUACCCAUGAAGUGAGUCAACUUCAGAUUAUGGACUGUCUCAAGAGGUGUCAUCUGAGGAGUACGGAAUGCUGUCUGAAUGGCAGAAACUAUAGCUUCCACUAAUUGAGCAAUAUCAGGGAAACUAGAUUCAGCUGGUUGAUGGGGCUUUCUACGAGGUGGC
rnacentral:lncRNA from 1 species